rnacentral:rRNA from 1 species
CGCUGGCGGCGUGCUAUACAUGCAAGUCGAGCGGACAGAUGGGAGCUUGCUCCCUGAAGUCAGCGGCGGACGGGUGAGUAACACGUGGGCAACCUGCCUGUAAGACUGGGAUAACUCCGGGAAACCGGGGCUAAUACCGGAUAAUUCUUUCCCUCACAUGAGGGAAAGCUGAAAGAUGGUUUCGGCUAUCACUUACAGAUGGGCCCGCGGCGCAUUAGCUAGUUGGUGAGGUAACGGCUCACCAAGGCAACGAUGCGUAGCCGACCUGAGAGGGUGAUCGGCCACACUGGGACUGAGACACGGCCCAGACUCCUACGGGAGGCAGCAGUAGGGAAUCUUCCGCAAUGGACGAAAGUCUGACGGAGCAACGCCGCGUGAGUGAUGAAGGUUUUCGGAUCGUAAAACUCUGUUGUUAGGGAAGAACAAGUACCGGAGUAACUGCCGGUACCUUGACGGUACCUAACCAGAAAGCCACGGCUAACUACGUGCCAGCAGCCGCGGUAAUACGUAGGUGGCAAGCGUUGUCCGGAAUUAUUGGGCGUAAAGCGCGCGCAGGCGGUUCCUUAAGUCUGAUGUGAAAGCCCCCGGCUCAACCGGGGGAGGGUCAUUGGAAACUGGGGAACUUG